AGAGUUUGAUCCUGGCUCAGGACGAACGCUGGCGGCGUGCUUAACACAUGCAAGUGGAGCGACGAACCGGGCUUCGGCCCGGGGCAAAGCCGCGAACGGGUGAGUAACGCGUAAGAAUGUACCCCAAACUGAGGGAUAACUGCUCGAAAGAGUAGCUAAUACCGCAUGUGCUCUUUCGAGAGUAAAGCUUCGGCGGUUUGGGAACAGCUUGCGUACGAUUAGCUAGUUGGUAAGGUAAUGGCUUACCAAGGCGACGAUCGUUAGCUGGUCUGAGAGGAUGAUCAGCCACACUGGGACUGAGACACGGCCCAGACUCCUACGGGAGGCAGCAGUAGGGAAUUUUCCACAAUGGGGGCAACCCUGAUGGAGCAACGCCGCGUGCAGGAUGAAGGCCUUCGGGUUGUAAACUGCUUUUGUCUGUGACGAAUAUGACGGUAGCAGACGAAUAAGGAUCGGCUAACUACGUGCCAGCAGCCGCGGUCAUACGUAGGAUCCGAGCGUUAUCCGGAUUUACUGGGCGUAAAGAGUUGCGUAGGUGGCAGAGUAAGUUAAUAGUGAAAUCGUGUGGCUCAACCAUACUCACAUUAUUAAAACUGCUCAGCUUGAAGAUGAGAGAGGUCACUGGAAUUCCAAGUGUAGGAGUGAAAUCCGUAGAUAUUUGGAGGAACACCGAUGGCGUAGGCAGGUGACUGGCUCAUUCUUGACACUAAGGCACGAAAGCGUGGGGAGCAAACGGGAUUAGAUACCCCGGUAGUCCACGCCGUAAACGAUGGAUGCUAGCUGUUAGGAGUAUCGACCCUCCUAGUAGCGUAGCUAACGCGUUAAGCAUCCCGCCUGUGGAGUACGGUCGCAAGACUAAAACUCAAAGGAAUUGACGG
rnacentral:rRNA from 1 species